AGCGACUUUCGCUCCGAUGCGGGAAGAAAAGCCGACCUCCGAUUUGGACAUUUAAAGAGCUGGGCUUGGACUUGGUGAGUUUCGCUCUAAACUGCCCUUGAAAUGAAGCUGGACUUGGAGGUGGCUGAUCAAGACAGUAUGAAAUUUCAUACAGUUUCCUAACUUGAGAAAACGUGGUGAUGCAAUUCCUCUAACCAGGAGGGAUUUAUGGACAGCGGUGGCUCCGUCCUAAUCUGCCCUGAAUACAGGAUGACUAAACAAAUUGGCAGACGGAUGCAGCUUUCUCUCUCUCUAAGAAAAGUCUGCUGAGAACCCCCGUUCCCACUCUGUUUCUGCCUCCAAAAAGAAAAGCCUAAAACUCACUUUCUUCUGGACUCUUUCAAGGAAGCUGACUAAAAGAAGCUCCUAAAACAGAGGUGCAGACAAGGUGAUGUGGCUCUCAGAGGAAGGUGUGCUACCUACAACCCUGCUGGCUUCAUGGAAGAAUGUGCUUCUCAAAUGCAAAUCCAAUCAAGUUAUCCCCCUGCUUAAAUCCAAACUCGCUCAU
rnacentral:sRNA from 1 species